GGUACCGUAGCCAAGCGGUAAGGCAGGGGUCUGCAAAACCUCUAUUCGUGAGUUCGAUUCUCGCCGGUACCUCCA
rnacentral:tRNA from 1 species